GCCUAGCUGGCUCAGUUGGAAGAGCAUGCAACUCUUGAUCUUGGGGUCAUGAGUUCGAGUUCCAUGCUGGGUG
rnacentral:tRNA from 1 species